rnacentral:rRNA from 1 species
AUUGAACGCUGGCGGCAGGCCUAACACAUGCAAGUCGAACGAGUGGCGGACGGGUGAGUAAUGUCUGGGAAACUGCCCGAUGGAGGGGGAUAACUACUGGAAACGGUAGCUAAUACCGCAUACCAUCGGAUGUUCCCAGAUGGGAUUAGCUAGUAGGUGGGGUAACGGCUCACCUAGGCUACGAUCCAUAGCUGGUCUGAGAGGAUGACCAGCCACACUGGAACUGAGACACGGUCCAGACUCCUACGGGAGGCAGCAGUGGGGAAGAGUGCACAAUGGGCGCAAGCCUGAUGCAGCAAUGCCGCGUGUAUGAAGAAGGCCUUCGGGUUGUAAAGUACUUUCAGCGAGGAGGCGUUACUCGCAGAAGAAGCACCGGCUAACGCCGUGCCAGCCGCCGCGGUAAUAC